rnacentral:rRNA from 1 species
UUUGGUUAAGUUAGAAAGGGCGCACGGUGGAUGCCUUGACACUAGGAGUCGAUGAAGGACGGGACUAACGCCGAUAUGCUUCGGGGAGCUGUAAGUAAGCUUUGAUCCGAAGAUUUCCGAAUGGGGAAACCCACUAUACGUAAUGGUAUGGUAUCCUUAUCUGAAUACAUAGGGUAAGGAAGACAGACCCAGGGAACUGAAACAUCUAAGUACCUGGAGGAAGAGAAAGCAAAUGCGAUUUCCUGAGUAGCGGCGAGCGAAACGGAACAUAGCCCAAACCAAGAGGCUUGUCUCUUGGGGUUGUAGGACAUUCUAUACGGAGUUACAAAGGAACGAGGUAGACGAAGCGACCUGGAAAGGUCCGUCGUAGAGGGUAACAACCCCGUAGUCGAAACUUCGUUCUCUCUUGAAUGUAUCCUGAGUACGGCGGAACACGUGAAAUUCCGUCGGAAUCUGGGAGGACCAUCUCCCAAGGCUAAAUACUCCCUAGUGAUCGAUAGUGAACCAGUACCGUGAGGGAAAGGUGAAAAGCACCCCGGAAGGGGAGUGAAAGAGAUCCUGAAACCGUGUGCCUACAAAUAGUCAGAGCCCGUUAACGGGUGAUGGCGUGCCUUUUGUAGAAUGAACCGGCGAGUUACGAUCCCGUGCGAGGUUAAGCUGAAGAGGCGGAGCCGCAGCGAAAGCGAGUCUGAAUAGGGCGUUUAGUACGUGGUCGUAGACCCGAAACCAGGUGAUCUACCCAUGUCCAGGGUGAAGUUCAGGUAACACUGAAUGGAGGCCCGAACCCACGCACGUUGAAAAGUGCGGGGAUGAGGUGUGGGUAGCGGAGAAAUUCCAAUCGAACCUGGAGAUAGCUGGUUCUCCCCGAAAUAGCUUUAGGGCUAGCCUUAAGUGUAAGAGUCUUGGAGGUAGAGCACUGAUUGGACUAGGGGUCCUCAUCGGAUUACCGAAUUCAGUCAAACUCCGAAUGCCAAUGACUUAUCCUUAGGAGUCAGACUGCGAGUGAUAAGAUCCGUAGUCAAAAGGGAAACAGCCCAGACCGCCAGCUAAGGUCCCAAAGUGUGUAUUAAGUGGAAAAGGAUGUGGAGUUGCUUAGACAACUAGGAUGUUGGCUUAGAAGCAGCCACCAUUUAAAGAGUGCGUAAUAGCUCACUAGUCGAGUGACUCUGCGCCGAAAAUGUACCGGGGCUAAAUACACCACCGAAGCUGCGGAUUGAUACCGAAUGGUAUCAGUGGUAGGGGAGCGUUCUAAGGACAGUGAAGUCAGACCGGAAGGACUGGUGGAGUGCUUAGAAGUGAGAAUGCCGGUAUGAGUAGCGAAAGACGGGUGAGAAUCCCGUCCACCGAAUGCCUAAGGUUUCCUGAGGAAGGCUCGUCCGCUCAGGGUUAGUCAGGACCUAAGCCGAGGCCGACAGGCGUAGGCGAUGGACAACAGGUUGAUAUUCCUGUACCACCUCUUUAUCGUUUGAGCAAUGGAGGGACGCAGAAGGAUAGAAGAAGCGUGCGAUUGGUUGUGCACGUCCAAGCAGUUAGGCUGAUAAGUAGGCAAAUCCGCUUAUCGUAAAGGCUGAGCUGUGAUGGGGAAGCUCCUUAUGGAGCGAAGUCUUUGAUUCCCCGCUGCCAAGAAAAGCUUCUAGCGAGAUAAAAGGUGCCUGUACCGCAAACCGACACAGGUAGGCGAGGAGAGAAUCCUAAGGUGUGCGAGAGAACUCUGGUUAAGGAACUCGGCAAAAUGACCCCGUAACUUCGGGAGAAGGGGUGCUUUCUUAACGGAAAGCCGCAGUGAAUAGGCCCAAGCGACUGUUUAGCAAAAACACAGCUCUCUGCGAAGCCGUAAGGCGAAGUAUAGGGGGUGACACCUGCCCGGUGCUGGAAGGUUAAGGAGAGGGGUUAGCGUAAGCGAAGCUCUGAACUGAAGCCCCAGUAAACGGCGGCCGUAACUAUAACGGUCCUAAGGUAGCGAAAUUCCUUGUCGGGUAAGUUCCGACCCGCACGAAAGGUGUAACGAUUUGGGCACUGUCUCAACCAGAGACUCGGUGAAAUUAUAGUACCUGUGAAGAUGCAGGUUACCCGCGACAGGACGGAAAGACCCCGUGGAGCUUUACUGUAGCCUGAUAUUGAAUUUUGGUACAGUUUGUACAGGAUAGGCGGGAGCCUUUGAAAACGGAGCGCUAGCUUCGGUGGAGGCGCUGGUGGGAUACCGCCCUGACUGUAUUGAAAUUCUAACCUACGGGUCUUAUCGACCCGGGAGACAGUGUCAGGUGGGCAGUUUGACUGGGGCGGUCGCCUCCUAAAGUGUAACGGAGGCGCCCAAAGGUUCCCUCAGAAUGGUUGGAAAUCAUUCGUAGAGUGCAAAGGCAUAAGGGAGCUUGACUGCGAGACCUACAAGUCGAGCAGGGACGAAAGUCGGGCUUAGUGAUCCGGUGGUUCCGCAUGGAAGGGCCAUCGCUCAACGGAUAAAAGCUACCCCGGGGAUAACAGGCUUAUCUCCCCCAAGAGUCCACAUCGACGGGGAGGUUUGGCACCUCGAUGUCGGCUCAUCGCAUCCUGGGGCUGUAGUCGGUCCCAAGGGUUGGGCUGUUCGCCCAUUAAAGCGGUACGCGAGCUGGGUUCAGAACGUCGUGAGACAGUUCGGUCCCUAUCCGUCGUGGGCGUAGGAAAUUUGAGAGGAGCUGUCCUUAGUACGAGAGGACCGGGAUGGACGCACCGCUGGUGUACCAGUUGUUCUGCCAAGGGCAUAGCUGGGUAGCUAUGUGCGGAAGGGAUAAGUGCUGAAAGCAUCUAAGCAUGAAGCCCCCCUCAAGAUGAGAUUUCCCAUAGCGUAAGCUAGUAAGAUCCCUGAAAGAUGAUCAGGUUGAUAGGUUCGAGGUGGAAGCAUGGUGACAUGUGGAGCUGACGAAUACUAAUAGAUCGAGGACUUAACCAUAUAA